ensembl:lncRNA
GUUCAAAAGGGAAAAAAAAUGCAUUGCAAUUAGAGAGCCCAUUAUAAGCAGGAGACUAAUACCAGCCAAGCUGCAUUCUGGGAUCUGUUCCCAGUGCCAUCAGAUGAUGUACAGAAGAAGAUGCAACAUAGAUACAAGAAAUGAACCACAGAGUCAGCAGGGUCAUCAUUCUCUGAUCCAGUUUGGUGAAAUUCUUUGUGUUUGAAGUACCAGUGUAGCCUUCACACUACAAGGCCUUUCUCAUCCCUUGUUAGUCAUACUUCCUAUUUUCCCGAAUGAAACUCCGCCUCUUUAUAACAAACUGCACCAAAUGGCUGUAGCCUGUAUGUUCCAAAUGUGAGGUGAUGCACACUUCAUGG